GUUUCUGUAAAACCUAAAAUGUUGCUACCAUAUUUUUAUGGUAAAGUUCUGGCAACCACUGCUGCUUAAUUUCAGUUUUAUAGUGCUGCCUUAAUAACAAUAGCUGUAAUGGGAUUGUGGUUCAGUCAGUUUUGUAAUGGGUAGUGAGUUAUAUAAUAAAGUUGUUUCUCAGUUUAGAUUCUAACUAAGCUUUACAGUUUUAACAGCUGAAGAAACGACCGUGGAAAUAGGCAGGAAAAGGUGUGUGAUUUGUCACCCUCAGCACAUUUCUCUCAGUUUCUUGGGCCUGUGAAGUCUUCAGACAGCAUGUAUGACCUCCUUUUUCUUGUCUUGUUCUGUUUAAUUUCGCCAAAAGGUAAGCUACCAGUAUGUUUAUUUGUUUAUGCUUAUCAGUAAGUUUGUACCUGAAACUAGUGUAAUUGGUAAGACUAGCAAAGUAGAAUUUCGGAGACUGUUGAAUUAAUAACAUUUUGAGGUCUGAAUCUGUUUGCAGCGAUGACAGAAACAGUCUAUCAGUUUCCCCCGUCAGUGAAGGUGAGAUCGGGUGAAAGAGUGACCAUGCACUGCCAGCUGAAUGAGGUGCAGUCAUUCUGUCACACAGUGGCCUGGGUCAGAGUACAUCCCGUGAGUGGAAUGAUAGACAUUCUGCAGGACUCAAACAUCCCUCGUCAGACUAAAGAGCAGGUGGAAACCACAGUGUGUCAGGCUUCCAUCUACAACGCAACAGUGCAGGACUCGGGGACGUAUUACUGCAUCACUACAGACCGUGAGCAUAUGUACCUUGGGAAUGGCACAGCUGUCACUGUACAAGCUGGCAGCGCUGUGAUGCCGUCUAUUGAUAUCAUGGCAUUUGCCAGCAGCAACAAACGCGACUCUACAGUCACUCUUCAGUGUACAGUCGGAGAAUUUGUUUCAUCGCGGGUCUAUGUGCACUGGCUCAUAGGGAGUAGAAAGGAAAAUGGACAAACUUUGUUUGUUUGGGAAGAAGGCGAAGAGAACUCUGUGAAAAUUCAUAAUUAUGUAGCUGUAUCAGCUGAGGAGUGGAGGACAGAAGGAGCUUACACCUGCGUUGUGAGUUUUGGUGGAUGGAUGUUCAACAAAACUCUGCAUUAUUAUGGUAAAUAACUUUUCAUAAUAUCUCUUUAUCAAGAUAGCAAAUCAAAUGUUUUAAUAUUACCUGUCCAAAAAUGGGAUCAGUGGGAUUUCUUGAUGGAUCUUAUAUCUAUAUUAUUUUGGAUGUUUUGUUUAAGAAGAAACAUGUUUGAUUCUUUUCUCACAAUACUUCUUGUUUUAUUCUUUUCCUCAGCUAUCCAGGACACUUGCUAUCCUCUUGUCAGUGUAACCAGAAUUUUUGCGCUUGUCACUGCUCUACUUUUUUUAACAACCUCAUUAAUUUUAGCAAGACGCAUCUAAAACAACAGAAAUUAUGUAUUUGAUCCUAUGACCCGAAAACAUCAAACAUAUUCUUUACAAAUAAAUGUAAAUGUGCAUAAAAUCA
ensembl:lncRNA